rnacentral:rRNA from 1 species
UACAUAGGGGGCAAGCGUUGUCCGGAUUUAUUGGGCGUAAGGGGCGCGUAGGCGGCCGAUCAAGUCGGAGGUGAAAUCCCUCGGCUCAACUGAGGAAUUGCCUUCGAUACUGUUCGGCUUGAGUCCUGGAGAGGGUAGCGGAAUUCCCGGUGUAGCGGUGAAAUGCGUAGAGACCGGGAAGAACACCAGUGGCGAAGGCGGCUACCUGGACAGGUACUGACGCUGAAGCGCGAAAGCUAGGGGAGCAAACAGG